GACGAACGCUGGCGGCGUGCCUAAUACAUGCAAGUAGAACGCAGUUGCGAACGGGUGAGUAACGCGUAGGUAACUGCCUCAUAGCGGGGGAUAACUAUUGGAAACGAUAGCUAAUACCGAAUACUGUGAGAUGGACCUGCGUGUUAUUAGCUAGUUGGUGAGGUAAAGGCUGACCAAGGCGACGAUACAUAGCCGACAUGAGAGGGUGAGCUGCCACACUGGAACUGAGACACGGCCCGAACUCCUACGGUGGGCAGCAGUGGGGAAGCUUGGGCAAUGGACGGAAGGCUGACGGAGCAACGCCGCGUGAGUGAAGAAGGUUUGCGGGUCGUAAAGCUCUUUUGUUAGGGAGGCCGGAAACUACCAAAAAGGGACGGCUAACUACGUGCCAGCAGCCGCGGUAAUAC
rnacentral:rRNA from 1 species